rnacentral:rRNA from 1 species
AACGAACGCUGGCGGCGUGCCUAAUACAUGCAAGUCGAGCGGAUGAUGGAGGAGCUUGCUCCUCCUGAUUCAGCGGCGAACGGGUGAGUAACGCGUGGGUAACCUGCCCUAUGGAAAGGAAUAGCCUCGGGAAACUGGGAGUAAUGCCUUAUAGUAUAUCGGGAUCGCAUGAUACUGAUAUGAAACGCUCCGGUGCCAUAGGAUGGACCCGCGUUCCAUUAGCUAGGUGGUGAGAUAACAGCCCACCAAGGCGACGAUGGGUAACCGGUCUGGGAGGGCGAACGGUCACACUGGAACUGAAACACGGGCCAGACUCCUACGGGAGGCGGCAGUGGGGAAUAUUGCGCAAUGGGGGAAACCCUGACGCAGCAAUACCGCGUGAGUGAAGAAGGUUUUCGGAUCGUAAAGCUCUGUUAUUGGGGAAGAAAAAAGACGGUACCCAAGAAGAAAGUCCCGGCUAACUACGUGCCAGCCGCCGCCGUAACAC